GUGCCAGCCGCCGCGGUAAUACCGGCAGCCCGAGUGAUGGCCGAUCUUAUUGGGCCUAAAGCGUCCGUAGCUGGCUGCGCAAGUCCGUCGGGAAAUCCAGUAGCUCAACUACUGGGCGUCCGGCGGAAACUACAAGGCUUGGGACCGGAAGGCUCGAGGGGUACGUCCGGGGUAGGAGUGAAAUCCUGUAAUCCCGCACGGACCACCGAUGGCGAAAGCACCUCGAGAAGACGGACCCGACAGUGAGGGACGAAAGCUGGGAUCUCGAACCGGAUUAGAAACCCCGGUAGUCC
rnacentral:rRNA from 1 species